rnacentral:rRNA from 1 species
GACUGACGCUGGCGGCGUGCCUAAUACAUGCAAGUAGAACGCUGAAGGAGGAGCUUGCUUCUCCGGAUGAGUUGCGAACGGGUGAGUAACGCGUAGGUAACCUGCCUGGUAGCGGGGGAUAACUACUGGAAACGAUAGCUAAUACCGCAUAACAGUAGAUAUCGCAUGAUAUCUGCUUGAAAGGUGCAAUUGCAUCACUACCAGAUGGACCUGCGUUGUAUUAGCUAGUUGGUGAGGUAACGGCUCACCAAGGCGACGAUACAUAGCCGACCUGAGAGGGGGAUCGGCCACACUGGGACUGAGACACGGCCCAGACUCCUACGGGAGGCAGCAGUAGGGAAUCUUCGGCAAUGGACGGAAGUCUGACCGAGCAACGCCGCGUGAGUGAAGAAGGUUUUCGGAUCGUAAAGCUCUGUUGUAAGAGAAGAACGAGUGUGAGAGUGGAAAGUUCACACUGUGACGGUAUCUUACCAGAAAGGGACGGCUAACUACGUG